AAAAAUCUUACAUCUAUAUUGAUUUAUUCUCUGUACAAAAACAACAGAAAUAAAUAAAUAUUAGCGAAGACAAAAGAAAAAAUGUGUUGUCACUUAAUAAUAGGUAUGUUAAAUAAACGUAUUGAUUAGUCUGAUGGAAGUAGAACUUAGAACUUAUAUAUGGAGCUAAUCUGGAUCGGUAUAAAUUAAAUGAGAAAGAAAAAAAUCUAAUAAACAGUUUCUUUAAGAGCAGGAAGAGAAAGAGUAUGGAAUAUUAGAAAAUGAAAACGGCGCGACAGAAUAAUCAUCGAUAAAAAAGUAAAAAGAGGAAACGCGAUAACGAUAUCUGGAACAAUUGUUUUAUCUGAUAAGAAACGAAGAAGAGCCAGAAAUUGCUAUCAAAAUAAAAAUUAUAGUAAAUAAAGCAGUGUGGAUUGUUUCUGUGUUUAAAAAAGGUUAUGGGUUUUUAUGAGCUUCUCCGGACGGGUCAGUAGGUGACAAUAAUAUUGUGGAAGUUAAGUGACUGUAUUCAUCCCGAGAAUAUUCAUCUCUAGAGGCAGCCGAAUCCAUAAAAACAUGUAGCUUGUUAAGUAAAUGUCCCUAAAGAAAACAAUAACUUCUUCUUUAGCCUGUUUGCAUCCACUCCUGGACAAAGGCCUCCCAUGAGUUCUUCACUCUUCUCUGUUUUGUGCUAUUUGGUACCAGUUUCUCCCCACUUUUGCUUUGGAGUCAUCUAGCCAUCGUUUUUGUGGUCUUCCUCUGCUACGACUAUGCUCGCGUGGUCUCCAAUCUAAAAUGUUUCUCGUCCACCUUUAGUUGUUUUGUCGUGGCACGUGUCCUAUCAGUGGCGGAUCCAGGGGGGAGAUGGGGGCGAUCGGCCCCAACUCUCAACCCAAGUGAUUUAUUUUUGAAGUUAUACUUCUUUAGGCGCGAUUUCAUUGAGGGUGAAAUUUUAUUAAUCUGCGCGUAUGCGCUCACAGGCAGUAUGGAGUUCGUUACUAAAUGUUUUAAUUUAUGUAUUUAUCAGUCCAGAAAAGGUGUGGAAAGAAUAUAUUAGUGUUUUUAAAUAUAUUUUUCUACAAACGUGUUAAAAAUACAAUUUAUAGCACUCCAUAGGAGCGUUAAAAA